GAGGGUGUAGCUCAGCUGGAUAGAGCAACGAAUUAAAAAGUGCAUAGUUUUGCACUUGCAGCAAUCUUCUUAAUGCUUUGGGAGCCGUUGGUCGUGGGUUCAAAUCCCACCACCCUCA
rnacentral:tRNA from 1 species